UACGUAGGGGGCAAGCGUUGUCCGGAAUUAUUGGGCGUAAAGCGCGCGCAGGCGGUUCUUUAAGUCUGGUGGUUAAGUGCGGGGCUCAACCCCGUGACGCACUGGAAACUGGGGAACUUGAGUGCAGAAGAGGAGAGCGGAAUUCCACGUGUAGCGGUGAAAUGCGUAGAGAUGUGGAGGAACACCAGUGGCGAAGGCGGCUCUCUGGACUGUAACUGACGCUGAGGCGCGAAAGCGUGGGGAGCAAACAGG
rnacentral:rRNA from 1 species